rnacentral:rRNA from 1 species
AACGAACGCUGGCGGCAUGCCUAACACAUGCAAGUCGAACGAGACCUUCGGGUCUAGUGGCGCACGGGUGCGUAACGCGUGGGAACCUGCCUUUAGGUUCGGAAUAACUCAGAGAAAUUUGAGCUAAUACCGGAUGAUGUCUUCGGACCAAAGAUUUAUCGCCUUUAGAUGGGCCCGCGUUGGAUUAGCUAGUUGGUGGGGUAAAGGCCUACCAAGGCGACGAUCCAUAGCUGGUCUGAGAGGAUGAUCAGCCACACUGGGACUGAGACACGGCCCAGACUCCUACGGGAGGGAGCAGUGGGGAAUAUUGGACAAGGGACGAAAGCCUGAUCCAGCAAUGCCGCGUGGGUGAUGAAGGCCUUAGGGUUGUAAAGCUCUUUUACCCGAGAUGAUAGUGACAGUAACGGGAGAAGAAGCACCGGCUAACUCCGUG